rnacentral:snRNA from 1 species
AGUAGGAGGGCGCGGCGG